UGAGGACAGAAUACAACAGAAGCAGACUAAACCAGCAGAUAGUUUCUGUAGAAGGGUUUAAAUUACCAGAGACCUCUGCCUGCAAGCUGCAGACCCAGAGAGAUGGGAUUGGGCGGUAGUGGCUUCUGACACGCCCCCUGGAUGAAGCAGCAGCAGGAAACGUUUAGGAGCGCGAGCUGGGCCAGCUGCUGUAGGGAAGCGCGGGCACGGGACACGGAGGGCACAGAGAGCAUUUAUCCAAAAGAGAGAGUCAGAGAGAGAGAGAGAUGGCACAACGAGUGCAACAGGAUUGUGUUUACGAACGAGCAGCACGAGACGAGCACAUCCUCGGGACGAUAACAGCUCGCGCGUUCACGAUUCUAGACGCGCAUCAAUAAUUUCGCGCGUAUCAUUCUCAUCGCUCAUUUUAUUAUCAUCACGAUUUAUUUAUUCAUUUAACGAUUUCAGCGCGAAAUAUUCUCUGCUUUCCAUCCGCUGGCUUCCAUCUGUUAAUGCUGUUUUUUGAAGCAGAAGAGAGGAAGGGAGGGAUGUUAUAAUCAGACCGCUGCAGUGUCUGGCCAGUGGAGGAGAUAAGAGGCAACCACGGAAACGGAACCGAUCUGGACAGGAGACGCACACCGGGAACAUACACCCUCCGGGGAUUCUAUUCUAUUCUUCUUGAUCGGCGCGUUGAUUCUGGAAUAUCAGGAAAAUAAAACCCUCCCUCCGUCCCUCUCUCCUUAUCGGGAAAGCCUCGACAUCCGUGCCUUCAAUCCUCUCCGUAUGCAGCUGGAGACUCCACAGCUGUAGCGGAGGACGCUGUUUACGGUCUGGCCGAGAGGUUUAGGCGCUCCGUCACCCCGGGGUGUGGCAGGCAGAGUGACCGCUGAGUGGAGGAUGGUUUGGGUGUGAAGAUGGGGAAGGACCAGGAACUACUGCAGGCAGUAAAGACGGAGGACCUGCUCACCGUUCAGAAGCUGCUGCAGAGGCCCGGGAAAGCAAAGCUCCUUGGUUCUGCUAAGAGGGUCAACGUCAACUUUCAGGAUACAGACGGGUUUGCUCCGCUGCACCAUGCUGCUCUCAGUGGGAACCUGGAGCUCAUCUC